ACCGAAACCUGUUAAAGUGGUCAUCUAACAACAGGAACCACUGUGAGGACUCUGAGGCAAGGCAGCAUGGGAUACAUUGUGCCAAAGAUACUCACAAUGGGAGCCAAGAAGAAAGACAGAAAAGGCCACAGUCCCAGAGUUCUCUACAAAAGCACACACCAGGGAGCUAACUUCCUUCCCUUAGUUCACAAGUUAAAGGUCCAACCAUUUCCCAGCGCACCAAAGGCAGACAGCCAGGUCUUCAUCACUGCAACACUGGGGAACAUUUAGCAUCAAACUACAAUUUCUAUGGGGAGAAGAUUUCAGGCUAUGGAUGUUUUGGAACUCAAGUGCUCUUGACUGUUUCGAUCCUUCAGGAUAUUUACACACACAGAAUAUAAUAAAAAUGUCAAGUGG
rnacentral:lncRNA from 1 species